rnacentral:rRNA from 1 species
GAUGAACGCUGGCGGCGUGCCUAAUACAUGCAAGUCGAACGAAUCUUCUUCGGAAGAUGAGUGGCGAACGGGUGAGUAAUGCAUAGGUAACCUGCCCCUGUGCGGGGGAUAACAGGAGGAAACUCCUGCUAAUACCGCAUAGCCAUGAGCACCGCAUGGAGCUCAUGCCAAAUAUCCUUUCGGGGAUAGCGCAGGGAUGGACCUAUGGCGCAUUAGCUGGUUGGCGGGGCAACGGCCCACCAAGGCAACGAUGCGUAGCCGGCCUGAGAGGGGGGACAGCCACAUUGGGGAGGGAAGACGGACCAGACCGCUACGGAGGUGAGCAGUAGGGAAUUUUGGGCAAUGGGGGAAACCCUGACCGAGCAACGCCGCGUGAGCGAAGAAGGACUUCGGGUCGUAAAGCUCUGUUGUAAAGGAAGAACGGCGCAUACAGGAAAUGGUAUGCGAGUGACGGUACUUUACCAGAAAGCCACGGCUAACUACGUGCCAGCAGCCGCCGUAAGAC